rnacentral:lncRNA from 1 species
CCUGCUUUAUUCCUUGGAAAAUUCGUCAAAAGCUGGUUGUGCAAUUUGUGGCGAUCAUUGCUUUGUAUUUUUGUUUGGAAUCAUGUCCUGGAAGGAAACAUGUUAAUGGGUACUUCUUGUUGCUCUAUGAGCAGUAAUUACAUUGUAGGCCAACGAAUGAAAAAUGUCCGGCAUCUUUUGACGCCAAGCUUGCGUAAUGGUGUGCGCCACCUCCGCAACUAACAUCCCUGCCCCCCUCGGAAAUACCUGCAGUAAUAGAAUCAAGGAUGAAGAAGUGUAGUGUACACUUUCCCUGGCGCACUCAAACCGGUAAAUGUCUGGCCAUCAGAUCCCCACCGUUCUAACCUCACACUCCCACAAGUCCAAUCCUUACGAGAACAUAGUGUGCCUGGACAGUCUACUGUGAUCCUCCCAAGACAUCAGACAACAUUGUCAGACGAAACGACAGCAGCAACGCCAGUCAAUAAACCUCUGGCUGAUUCACUAAAAAAACGCACACCUCCUAGGAUGUCUACAGUUUAGUUCUACACCCCGCCCAUGCCAGCGUUGGAUACGCAUCUUCUCGUCAGAGCACACCUCGGUGACCUUCACUAAUGCCGACCCUCAAGGCCAAACAGAAUGCGAACUAAUAAUAAUAAUAACAAUGAUAACAUAAAUGAUAUUAAUAACAACCAAUAAAUCCUAAUCCUGUCCCCACAUGCCGAAACCCUGGCUCCAGAAUACGAGGAAGCAUUAUGCCGCGCACACACCCAAUUUCCGAAUUAAUAAAAACAUGCUCCAAACCAGAUGUUCGACGGCCAACAACGACCCAACUUGCUUUUCUUAGUCCCGAUCCAACCCCAUGCACUGUUGGUUAGGACUUUGGAUGGGUUUAAAAGCCUCGCAUGGGUCCCGUCACAUCUAGGUUUUGUUGCAAAAUGUAGAAAGAGAGCCGUUGCCCCUACCGCAGCAAUGGUGAUUUGGCCGAUUGCGGUCGGGGAUGUUGCCAGGGGGUGGGAGCUGCGACAGGAAAU